rnacentral:lncRNA from 1 species
ACUGCGUGGGUUUCUGUCCCGGGGAGCGAUUCUUACGCAUGUGGAACCUAGGAUCCAGAAUAAAUGACCAAACACUCACAUAUAACGUGCACAAAGUACACAGCGAUGGCACAGCUGAGAUUGUAACCAUGCAGCGAUAUCCAAGGUGGAGCAUGGCCUGUUCUCCAGUUCAGACAUCGCUCUUGUACGAGACCUGAAACUCUAUAUACUGUCUGACCGCAGAACCGCCAACUUCUCCGAUACACCUACAUCUGUCUACCAGACACUGCUGGUGUAUGACCUUCUUAAAAAGAGCUACAUUAAGAAACAGACUGGACUGUUCAUCGUGCCCUGUCCUCGACAAGACUAUCAGCUCUUAGAUGGUGAAAUACUGCUGGGCCUUUCAGAAACACGGGAUCAUCUGAUAUUGUGGGAUCUGGACUCUGGCUACAUUAAAGGACGUAUCAAGACGUCCUACAAAGAAACCCUACUCUCCAGCAUGGACAGAGAUUCCCAAAUUAUGUCCUCAAAAGAAAAGACAGGUAUUAAAAUGUAAAUGAUACUUGACUUUACCAUUGCAUUUAUACAACAUCUCAGUCCCACGUAGAUUUUCAUACCAUAUUCAACAUAAAAAAAACAACAAUCCUAAAUCUAAA